rnacentral:rRNA from 1 species
CAGUCGCCACGGGAAUACGGAGGGUGCAAGCGUUAAUCGGAAUUACUGGGCGUAAAGCGUGCGUAGGUGGUGGUUUAAGUCCGUUGUGAAAGCCCUGGGCUCAACCUGGGAAUUGCAGUGGAUACUGGGUCACUAGAGUGUGGUAGAGGAUAGUGGAAUUUCCGGUGUAGCAGUGAAAUGCGUAGAGAUCGGAAGGAACAUCUGUGGCGAAGGCGACUAUCUGGGCCAACACUGACACUGAGGCACGAAAGCGUGGGGAGCAAACAGGAUUAGAUACCCCAGUAGUCCCUGUCUCUUAUAC